rnacentral:rRNA from 1 species
UUGGACCUGAUAUCAGUCACGUCGCCCGGGCAGG